GAUGAACGCUAGCGGGAGGCUUAAUACAUGCAAGUCGAACGGUAACGAUGGGCUUCGGCCCAGGCGACGAGUGGCGCACGGGUGAGUAACGCGUACACAACCUACCUAUAAGAGGGGGAUAGCCACUGGAAACGGUGAAUAAUACCCCAUAGUAUUGAUUUUAUGAUAUAUGAUCAAUUAAAGCUCCGGCGCUUAUAGAUGGGUGUGCGUCCGAUUAGCUAGUUGGUAAGGUAACGGCUUACCAAGGCGACGAUUGGUAGGGGGCGUGAGAGCGUGACCCCCCACACGGGUACUGAGACACGGACCCGACUCCUACGGGAGGCAGCAGUAAGGAAUAUUGGACAAUGGAGGCAACUCUGAUCCAGCCAUCCCGCGUGUAGGAAGACUGCCCUAUGGGUUGUAAACUACUUUUAGAUAGGAAGAACGGCGGAUAUUUAUAUUCGUAUGACGGUACUAUCAGAAUAAGCACCGGCUAACUCCG
rnacentral:rRNA from 1 species